CGCGCAAUACACUAGCUGGCUUUACCGUGGUCACCUUGGAGAAGCAAUUUUGCCAUUUUCGUGGCAAUCUAACUCGUGGCAUUACCGUUAGAACGUUAUUAGCAUGAACGUUACAUCUAAUUAAUUAUUAGCCCCAAUUUAGCAACAAGUAGCUUUGAUAAAAGCUAAAAAUAUCAAUGCUCCACAUUGUACUUUAGAGGCAUGUUCGGUGAAUUUAUCGCCUUUGUUGUUCAGAGUUCUCAAGAGGAGAGCACGGCUAUUGGUGACCCCGGUUGACUACAACCUCUGUCCGAGUACAUCUCUGGGUAACAGACGAGGAGACUGUAGGACCUGUCAGCAUUUUGCACAACCCAUGCCAUGUGACUCCAUGAACCCUAACAUCUCAAACACCCAAAGUCCCGUGCACGAGUCACAAUGUGUGCAGAAACCGGAGUACCCGCAGAAAACACACGCAACGAGAUAACAUGGAAAGAACAUGACAAGCCCACACCGGAAGGCAAUAGAGCCCAGAUUAAAACCCAGAACCUCAGAACAGUGAGGCAGACAUACUAACCAAUAGGCCAAUAUGCUUCUCAAUGUCCAUUACUGACCCUCCUGUUAUGUUGCGGGUCAAAGUCAUCCAAUUUAAAGUUUAA